UCAAAGCAGGGUUCCUAUCCAGUCC
rnacentral:piRNA from 1 species